rnacentral:lncRNA from 1 species
AAAGAUUGAUGAUGUCAAUUAGACAUCUUAAGAAUAUGUAAACAUAAUAAAUUAAUGCGAUAAAAUUCAGGCAUCGACUGUUCUAGGGGUGUGCGCGGGUCAUAAUCUUACGGGUUUUAGUAAAAUUCAUCCUUGUCUCAUGGAUUUUCAACAGGUACGGGAUAGUCGAGUUUAUAAUAACGGGUUUAUAGCAACGUCCAACGUUCGUGUGUCGAAACACAAUGCAGCAAGAUGCAGAAUUCCUCACAAUCCCUUCAAUGUAAAUCAUUUAUUCAAAUUUCCAACAAAUCAAGAUUAAAACUUUUUGCAAACUACAAAAAAUAUUUAAUUAAUAAUGAUAUAAAAAAUAAAAUCAAAAAAAUCAGUUCCGACUUCCACGGGUAUGUGCCUCUGCACCGACUCCACGGUAGUUAGACCCAGGAUCCGCUGACGCCAACCAAAUCAUCCAAACGAGCUCGGCUCCCAAGCCGAGCCGCGCCCAGCCGUAAAUCCCCUUCCACUUAUCACAGCUCAUUUUAUACGCCAAAUAAACUUGCAUUUCCCUUGAAUUUGAGGUUCAUUUCAUUUGAUGACAAAAGCAAAAAAAAAAAGAAAGAAAACCUAACCACAGUCAAAUUGUAACCACAUGUUGAGACCCCAGUUUGUUUUUAUUUAAAGACACUGAAAUUGUGAAAGGGCCAGCUGGGUAGUAGUGAGACACUCUACUGAUCCUUCACCCAUCACCCCCCAACCCCAC